rnacentral:rRNA from 1 species
UACGGAGGGGGGCUAGCGUUGUUCGGAAUUACUGGGCGUAAAGCGCACGUAGGCGGCUUUGUAAGUUAGAGGUGAAAGCCCAGGGCUUAACCCUGGAAUUGCCUUUAAGACUGCAUCGCUAGAAUCGUGGAGAGGUGAGUGGAAUUCCGAGUGUAGAGGUGAAAUUCGUAGAUAUUCGGAAGAACACCAGUGGCGAAGGCGACUCACUGGACACGUAUUGAACGCUGAGGUGCGAAAAGCGUGGGGGAGCAAACAGG